rnacentral:rRNA from 1 species
AGAUAUGACUUAGUGGCGGACGGGUGAGUAACACGUGAGCAACCUGCCUAUCAGAGGGGGAUAACGAUUGGAAACGAUCGCUAAUACCGCAUGACAUAGCGGAAUCGCAUGGUUCUGUUAUCAAAGAUUUAUCGCUGAAAGAUGGGCUCGCGUCUGAUUAGAUAGUUGGUGGGGUAACGGCCUACCAAGUCUGCGAUCAGUAGCCGGACUGAGAGGUUGACCGGCCACAUUGGGACUGAGAUACGGCCCAGACUCC